CGCGGUAAUACGGAGGGUGCGAGCGUUAAUCGGAAUUACUGGGCGUAAAGCGUACGCAGGCGGUUUGAUAAGCGAGAUGUGAAAGCCCCGGGCUCAACCUGGGAACUGCACCCGAUACUGGCCGACUAGAGUACGAGAGAGGGAGGUAGAAUUCCACGUGUAGCGGUGAAAUGCGUAGAUAUGUGGAGGAAUACCGGUGGCGAAGGCGGCCUCCUGGCUCGACACUGACGCUGAGGUGCGAAAGCGUGGGGAGCGAACAGGAUUAGAUACCCUGGUAGUCCACGCCGUAAACGAUGAGUGCUAAGUGU
rnacentral:rRNA from 1 species